rnacentral:tRNA from 1 species
AUAGUUGUAGUUUAUUUUAAAAAUCCAAGCUUUGGGUGCUUGAGAAACCCUAGGUUAACUAUA